GGCAUCCCUACGAUCUAACGGCAAUUGAUUAAAAAAACAACRGAUAAAGUGAUACGUAAUCCAGUCCAAAAAAGAUAUCAGUGAAUUCUGACCAAUGAAGAUCUUCACCAUUUGACGUGCAACGCAUGCGUGGUCCAGUGUAGCCAUAUCUUCCAUUAUGCUGAUGGCAUCCACUCCCUUGGUUGGGAUCCCAGUGACUGGUUCUGAUAUCAAGUCCAUCAGAGGUUGAUAGGAUACUGAUGGUCCAUGUCAUCGUCAUCCAAGUCAAAGGUACUACAAUCAUCUAUCACUUCUGUGUGAUCAACACUGAAAACAACCAAAUUUAAGCAAUUUUGUUGCUGAAGUUGAAGGAUAUAUUUGUGACCAACUCAUCUGGAGGUUUCCAUGGAAUAACAGCCAGACAUGGCUUUGACCUGUGAAUGGCAAAUAAAAUAAGUCACACCAAGGAAAAGAGGUAAGYGUACUUCAAUCUUAGCAUCUCUGUGGUAAGGGAGAGAACAUCUUAUCAGAGAAACAUGUAUUGCACAAGGUAAGAGUUGAAACUGAUCUUGCAGAUCCUUAGCAGAAAAAAACAUCAUCACAAUGUGUGUAUCCAAUGAGAAGGGAAGGAAGCUAUACAAUUUUUUAAACAUGCCCUUGCACGAUUUAUACCUUUCCAUAUUGUUGUUGUCAUCCUCUUUGACUUCAUCUUCACUAACACUGUUUUGAAAGAGAAACAAUUGCUUUUCAGUGCUCUUUUCAAUACAUGGAGAACUUGAUUUCUUUUAUGCUUGCUUUCAAGUAGCAUACUAAAGUAACAGGGAAUGGUCAUGUGGYGUUACUGCUGAUGGGCCACCUCACACCUCUGGGGUCAUGGGUUUGAUUCCCAAUGAUGCUUUGAGGGUUUUUCUCCAGUCUUCCUCACUCUGAAAAAAUCAGUUUCUUAAUUCCAAUUUGAUCUUGGAAUAAAGGUUUGUAAGCCACUAGCACAAAACAUUUUUCUAUAAUAUAAUGAUUUAAAUAAUAAUAACUACUUGUGUCCCUCCAUGCUAUGUUGUCUCUAAGCAGAAUGCGACCACCAUUGUACAUCGUCAUCCAAUCCACUGCAAAGGUCUAACCAUUUGUAGAUAUUUUCAGAGCAAAGGCAGCACCUUUUUCUCUGAUAUUUUAAGACUUCCUACACUACAGACCAAUGCCCAACCAAUAGAGUCAACUGGGAGGCAAUUUUUACAUAUGAAUAAUAUCAUACAUAUGAAUAAUAUCAUAUAUGAUAUACCUCUCUG